rnacentral:rRNA from 1 species
GGGUUAGUCCACGUGAGCAACCUGCCCCUGACUCUGGGAUAAGCGCUGGAAACGGCGUCUAAUACUGGAUAUGUCCCGUCACCGCAUGGUGUGCGGGUGGAAAGAUUUUUCGGUUGGGGAUGGGCUCGCGGCCUAUCAGCUUGUUGGUGAGGUAAUGGCUCACCAAGGCGUCGACGGGUAGCCGGCCUGAGAGGGUGACCGGCCACACUGGGACUGAGACACGGCCCAGACUCCUACGGGAGGCAGCAGUGGGGAAUAUUGCACAAUGGGCGAAAGCCUGAUGCAGCAACGCCGCGUGAGGGAUGACGGCCUUCGGGUUGUAAACCUCUUUUAGCAGGGAAGAAGCGAGAGUGACGGUACCUGCAGAAAAAGCACCGGCUAACUACGUGCCAGCAGCCGCGGUAAUACGUAGGGUGCAAGCGUUAUCCGGAAUUAUUGGGCGUAAAGAGCUCGUAGGCGGUCUGUCGCGUCUGCUGUGAAAUCCCGAGGCUCAACCUCGGGCUUGCAGUGGGUACGGGCAGACUAGAGUGCGGUAGGGGAGAUUGGAAUUCCUGGUGUAGCGGUGGAAUGCGCAGAUAUCAGGAGGAACACCGAUGGCGAAGGCAGAUCUCUGGGCCGUAACUGACGCUGAGGAGCGAAAGGGUGGGGAGCAAACAGGCUUAGAUACCCUGGUAGUCCACCCCGUAAACGUUGGGAACUAGUUGUGGGGUCCUUUCCACGGAUUCCGUGACGCAGCUAACGCAUUAAGUUCCCCGCCUGGGGAGUACGGCCGCAAGGCUAAAACUCAAAGGAAUUGACGGGGACCCGCACAAGCGGCGGAGCAUGCGGAUUAUUCGAUGCACGCGAAGAACCUUACCAGGCUUGACAUACACGAGAACGGGCCAGAAUGGUCACUCUUUGGACCUCGUGAAAGGUGGUGCAUGGUUGUCGUCACUCGUGUCGUGAGA